rnacentral:rRNA from 1 species
GAUGAACGCUGGCGGCGUGCCUAAUACAUGCAAGUCGAGCGAACGGACGAGAAGCUUGCUUCUCUGAUGUUAGCGGCGGACGGGUGAGUAACACGUGGAUAACCUACCUAUAAGACUGGGUUAACUUCGGGAAACCGUAGCUAAUACCGGAUAAUUUUUUGAACCGCAUGGUUCAAAAGUGAAGGACGGUUUUGCUUUCCCUUAUAGAUGAAUCCGCGCUGCAUUAGCUAGUUGGUAAGGUAACGGCUUACCAAGGCAACGAUGCAUAGCCGACCUGAGAGGGUGAUCGGCCACACUGGAACUGAGACACGGUCCAGACUCCUACGGGAGGCAGCAGUAGGGAAUCUUCCGCAAUGGGCGAAAGCCUGACGGAGCAACGCCGCGUGAGUGAUGAAGGUCUUCGGAUCGUAAAACUCUGUUAUUAGGGAAGAACAUAUGUGUAAGUAACUGUGCACAUCUUGACGGUACCUAAUCAGAAAGCCACGGCUAACUACGUG